rnacentral:rRNA from 1 species
GCUCUGAUUAGCUAUUUGGUGUGCUAAAACCCCACCAAGGCUACGAUCUUCAACUGGUCUUAUAGGGUGAUCACCCACUCUGGGACUGAGACACCGCCCAGACUCCUGCGGAAGGCUUCAGUGGGGACUUUUCCGAAAUGGCCUAAAUCCUGACGGAUCAAUACCGCGUGAGGGAGGAAGGCUCUUGGGUUGUAAACCUCUUUUCCCUAGGAAUAAGAAAGGGAAGGAACUUGAGGAAAAACCCCCGGUUACUUCCUCCCCCCCACCCGUUUUAUUCCGGAGGAUUUUGCCGUUUUCCGAAAUGUUUGGCCGUAAAGGGCCCCCAGGGGGCUGGGCCGUCUGCCGGUUAAAAAGUGAGGCUAAACCCCUUUAAAACAGGGGAAACUACAAGGCUUGAGGGCGUUCGGGCCACCGAAAUUCCUGGUGUAACGCGGAAUCGCUUAAAGAUCAGAAAAAUUCGCUUGCGGAUCCUGC